rnacentral:rRNA from 1 species
GAUGAACGCUGACAGAAUGCUUAACACAUGCAAGUCAUUGGCGAAGCUGCGCUUGCGCAGUCUAGCCAAGGCGGACGGGUGAGUAACGCGGAAGGAACUUGCCCUGCAGACAGGGAUAACAGACGGAAACGACUGAUAACACCUGGUAUUGUCAGGCUGGCGCAUGCCGGCCUGAUGAAAGGAGACGCUGCAGGGGAGCCUUGCGUCCUAUUAGCUAGUUGGUGGGGUAACGGCCCACCAAGGCGAUGAUAGGUAGCCGGCCUGAGAGGGUGAACGGCCACAAGGGGACUGAGAUACGGCCCUUACUCCUACGGGAGGCAGCAGUGGGGAAUAUUGGACAAUGGGGGCAACCCUGAUCCAGCAAUUCUGUGUGCACGAAGAAGGUUUUCGGAGUGUAAAGUGCUUUCAGCAGGGAAGAAGAAAGUGACGGUACCUGCAGAAGAAGCGACGGCUAAAUACGUG